rnacentral:rRNA from 1 species
UACGUAGGGGGCAAGCGUUGUCCGGAUUCAUUGGGCGUAAAGAGCUCGUAGGCGGCUUGGCAAGUCGGGUGUGAAACCUCCAGGCUCAACCUGGAGACGCCACCCGAUACUGCCAUGGCUAGAGUCCGGUAGGGGACCACGGAAUUCCUGGUGUAGCGGUGAAAUGCGCAGAUAUCAGGAGGAACACCGGUGGCGAAGGCGGGUCUCUGGGCCGUAACUGACGCUGAGGAGCGAAAGCGUGGGGAGCGAACAGG